AAUAGAUACCCGGGUAGUCCACGCCGUAAACGAUGAGUGCUAAGUGUUAGGGGGGUUUUCCGGCCCCCUUAGUGCUGCAGCUAACGCAUUAAGCACUCCGCCUGGGGAGUACGGUCGCAAGACUGAAACUCAAAGGAAUUGACGGGGGCCCGCACAAGCGGUGGAGCAUGUGGUUUAAUUCGAAGCAACGCGAAGAACCUUACCAGGUCUUGACAUCCCACUGACCGCUAUGGAGACAUAGUUUUCCCUUCGGGGACAGCGGUGACAGGUGGUGCAUGGUUGUCGUCAGCUCGUGUCGUGAGAUGUUGGGUUAAGUCCCGCAACGAGCGCAACCCUUGUCCUUAGUUGCCAUCAUUCAGUUGGGGCACUCUAAGGAGACUGCCGGCUAAAAGUCGGAGGAAGGUGGGGAUGACGUCAAAUCAUCAUGCCCCUUAUGACCUGGGCUACACACGUGCUACAAUGGACGGUACAAACGGUUGCGAAGUCGCGAGACGGAGCUAAUCCGAAAAAACCGUUCUCAGUUCGGAUUGCAGGCUGCAACUCG
rnacentral:rRNA from 1 species